UCCUCUUUACAGAGGCAGUUUGUUCCGAGUCCCCGGCAUUACCCGCUGGUAACAGAACAUGAGGGUUGCGCUCGUUGCGGGACUUAACCCAACAUUUCACAACACGAGCUGACGACAGCCAUGCACCACCUGUGCAGCACCUUCGAAAGCGGCUCCGUUUCGGGAGCUUGCAGCUGCAUGUCAAGCCCUGGUAAGGUUCUUCGCGUUGCAUCGAAUUAAGCCAUAUGCUCCACCGCUUGUGCGGGCCCCCGCCAAUUCCUUUGAGUUUUAAUCUUGCGAUCGUAGUUCCCAGGCGGAUCACUUAAUGCGUUAGCUGCGGCACCGAGGCAAAGCCCCAACACCUAGUGAUCAUCGUUUAUGGCCAAGACUAC
rnacentral:misc_RNA from 1 species